rnacentral:tRNA from 319 species
CGCGGGGUGGAGCAGUUCGGUAGCUCGUCGGGCUCAUAACCCGAAGGUCGCAGGUUCAAAUCCUGCCCCCGCAACCA